rnacentral:rRNA from 1 species
UGUGUAGGCGGUUGUUUAAGUUUGGUGUGAAAUCUCCCGGCUCAACUGGGAGGGUGCGCCGAAUACUGAAUGACUUCGAGUGCGGGAGAGGAAAGUGGAAUUCCUGGUGUAGCGGUGAAAUGCGUAGAUAUCAGGAGGAACACCGGUGGUGUAGACGGCUUUCUGGACCGUAACUGACGCUGAGACACGAAAGCGUGGGUAGCAAACAGGAUUAGAUACCCUGGUAGUCCACGCCCUAAACGAUGCAUAUUUGGUGUGGGCAGUUCAUUCUGUCCGUGCCGGAGCUAACGCGUUAAAAUAUGCCGCCUGGGAAGUACAGUCGCAAGACUGAA